rnacentral:rRNA from 1 species
AACGAACGCUGGCGGCAGGCUUAACACAUGCAAGUCGAGCGCCCCGCAAGGGGAGCGGCAGACGGGUGAGUAACGCGUGGGAAUCUACCGUGCCCUACGGAAUAGCUCCGGGAAACUGGAAUUAAUACCGUAUACGCCCUACGGGGGAAAGAUUUAUCGGGGUAUGAUGAGCCCGCGUUGGAUUAGCUAGUUGGUGGGGUAAAGGCCUACCAAGGCGACGAUCCAUAGCUGGUCUGAGAGGAUGAUCAGCCACAUUGGGACUGAGACACGGCCCAAACUCCUACGGGAGGCGGAAGUGGGGAAUAUUGGACAAUGGGGGCAAGCCUGAACCAGCCAUGCCGCGUGAGUGAUGAAGGUCUUAGGAUUGUAAAGCUCUUUCACCGGUGAAGAUAAUGACGGUAACCGGAGAAGAAGCCCGGGCUAACUUCGUGCCAGCAGCCGCCGUAACAC